rnacentral:lncRNA from 1 species
UGAGGAUAAAAGGCUUCGGACGUCCAAGGAAAAGCUGUAGACGCAGAGGUGGAGAGUUGCAAGUGUCCUUGAGGCCAAGAUGGCGGAAGAUGUUCUGGGAAAGACGGUUAGUCAGCUCAAGAGGGAGAGGACAACUGCGAAGAGCAGCUUCACCAGACAAGCCAACCUCCUCAGUAAAGGGGCAAACAGCAUGGUCGAAGCAGAGCUUAAGGAGGAGUUCAGUAGGCUGUCUGAGUAUUUCAAGAAAAUUCUUGAAACCAAUGAUGAUUAUAGGACCGGACUGCUGGCUGAAACAACAAAGGAAGAAGAGGAGGAAGACGCAGUGCUCCAAGAGUCGCUGGAGGUGAACAUUGAGAAGGCUGAAGAAAAAGCGGAGGCAAGAUUUAAAGAAGUGAAAAACAUUGUCCAAGUGAACCUUUGGUCAAGAUAUGGUCAAUAUGAGCUCACUACUGCCAUCCGAGAAGCCGAAAAGAAUGUCGAUGAGGCAGGUGACGUGCCUGUAGAAAGUCCCAACCUGGAGGGCUAUGAGGUGCGCUUGACUCUCCUGGAGAAAAGGACUCAGGAGGCCACCAGAGUCAUGGCAGCCUGGGAGCGAUGGAUCCCUCUGGAGGAGAGGAGGGACCUAGAUAGCAGAAUUAAAGAGCUUAAAGCAACCAGCAGCAGACUUGAGCUGAGGAAAGCUGAAUUCGCCACUGCACGGAGGAUUGCAGAGGAGGCACGGGCUGAAGAAGCUCAUGGUGGGAGGAAUAGAGCACAAUUGACACCUGCAUCACCUAUAAUACCCACAGGACCGAUAGUAAGGAUCAAGCCAACAGCUCUUCCCAUCUUCGAUGGCAACAAAAGAGAAUAUUACAGAUGGAGGAAAAACUGGGAGAGCCUACAGAAACAAGGAGAGCCAUCUGGAUCAGCUGAGGUCAAGAAGAUUCAAUUAUUGAGCAGUGUUGAUGACAGAAUAGCAAAGGAUCUCAGGCUAUCAACAUACAGCACUGCUGAAGAGAUAUUCAGAGUCAUGGAGAAUAGAUGUGGGAAUAAGUUAACCAUCACCAUAGAAAUCCUGGAAGAACUGGAAAAAAUACCUCCUGUGAAGGGAAACCAGCCAAGAAGAGUCAUCGACCUGAUACAGUCUGUGGAAAAAGCCUUAGCAGAUCUCACAGAGCUGGGAAACUCUGGU